rnacentral:tRNA from 2 species
GCCCUCGUAGCUCAGCUGGAUAGAGUACCUGGCUACGAACCAGGCGGUCGGAGGUUCGAAUCCUCCCGGUCGCGCCA